CAUUUAUAAUAUGCAGAGAUUUAUGAUUCAAAUUAGGUAUAGUUUACACAAGCCAACCAAACACAAAGCAACCACAUAGCUCUCAUAACACCUUCAACAAAAUCUAAGAAUAUUUCAAUUUGUUGAAAGUGAGAUCCAUGAACACAUUAUAUUAUUAUUCUAUAAAAGCAAACACAUACAUACUAGUAUAUGCUUCUUAUACAUUAAAUGUGUACACUCAUACACACAAUUAUACAUAUUGAUUUCAUUAUUAUCUCUGCUUCAAACUUUCAUAUGUUGCAUCUCACUUGCAGUUGCAAGGGUCACAUGUGCAGUUUGAUCCACACUUGCACCCACUUUCCUCAGCUGCAACACCCAUUUCAGCACCCUCAAAUUGGAUCUUUGCCGGACCAACGCCGAGAAUCACGGUUUCUGUGGUUUCCACUUCCACAUAGCUCAAUCCACUUGACCUCUUGUUGCAUCUGCGAAGCAAUAAAAUUUAAUUAUACACAUGAAGUGUGAAAAAUUAUGGAUAAUUUGAUUUGAAAAUAAAAGGUUCUCAUGAGACCUUUAAAACAAAGUGUUACAAAAAAAAUUGAAUUAGUCAUUAAUAUUUGAGAUUAAAAAAAAAAAAUUUAAUUAAUGGCCGGCUAAGUGAAGGAACAUAUCUUGAACUAAUUUUUCGAAUUUUAUCAAACACUAAUUAAAUAAAUAUAAAUAUCCCCAAACAUGCUCAAUAAAUUAUAGAAACAUAAAAUUUUAAAAGAACCUAGCCAAAAGGGGUAGUCAAAAAAUGAAUCAAAAUAUUUUUUUAAAAGGAUUCCAAAAAUCACAAGAUCAAAGUAAACACACAUAAUUUUGUAAAAAAAAAUUAGAAAGCAACAAAUUAAGAAUAUUUAAGGUGGUUGAUUCUUACUUGCAGCUAUCGCCACAAUUGCAACUGCUUCCACAAUUACAGCCUGACAUAUUUUCUCACAAACAAAUAUUUGCAAAGCAAAGAACAAUUAAUAUUAUCGGUUGGUUGAUUCUUCACUACAAUUGAU
rnacentral:lncRNA from 1 species